rnacentral:rRNA from 1 species
GGGUUGUCAUGCCAAUGGCAUUGCCCGGUAGCUAAAUGCGGAAGAGAUAAGUGCUGAAAGCAUCUAAGCACGAAACUUGCCCCGAGAUGAGUUCUCCCUGAGACUUUAAGUCUCCUGAAGGAACGUUGAAGACGACGACGUUGAUAGGCCGGGUGUGUAAGCGCAGCGAUGCGUUGAGCUAACCGGUACUAAUGAACCGUGAGGCUUAACCUU